rnacentral:rRNA from 1 species
UACGUAGGGGGCUAGCGUUGUCCGGAAUCAUUGGGCGUAAAGCGCGUGUAGGCGGCCCGGUAAGUCCGCUGUGAAAGUCCAGGGCUCAACCCUGGGAUGCCGGUGGAUACUGUCGGGCUCGAGUCCGGAAGAGGCGAGUGGAAUUCCUGGUGUAGCGGUGAAAUGCGCAGAGAUCGGGAGGAACAUCAGUUGCGAAGGCGGCCACCUGGACCAGCACUGACACUGAGGCACGAAAGCGUGGGGAGCAAACAGG